rnacentral:rRNA from 1 species
ACGGGUGAGUAACACGUGGAUAACCUACCUAUAAGACUGGGAUAACUUCGGGAAACCGGAGCUAAUACCGGAUAAUAUAUUGAACCGCAUGGUUCAAUAGUGAAAGACGGUUUUGCUGUCACUUAUAGAUGGAUCCGCGCCGCAUUAGCUAGUUGGUAAGGUAACGGCUUACCAAGGCACGAUGCGUAGCCGAACUGAGAGGGUGAUCGGCCACACUGGAACUGAGACACGGUCCAG